GGAUGUGAAAGCUGGGAGGCAUCUCUUGGUUUUCAAAGCUGGGGACCGUAAGGCCUGGCGCUUCAUGAUGAGCCCGCGGCCUAUCAGCUAGUUGGUAAGGUAACGGCUUACCAAGGCUAAGACGGGUAGCUGGUCUGAGAGGACGACCAGCCACACUGGAACUGAGACACGGUCCAGACACCUACGGGUGGCAGCAGUCGAGAAUUUUUCACAAUGGGCGCAAGCCUGAUGGAGCGACGCCGCGUGGGGGAUGAAUGGCUUCGGCCCGUAAACCCCUGUCAUUUGCGAUCAACCGUUAUUGUUUAAGAGAUGAUAACCUGAUAGUAGCGAAAGAGGAAGGGACGGCUAACUCUGUGCCAGCAGCCGCGGUAAUACAGAGGUCCCAAGCGUUGUUCGGAUUCACUGGGCGUAAAGGGUGCGUAGGUGGCGAAGUAAGUCGGAUGUGAAAUCUCCGAGCUCAACUCGGAAAUGGCAUUGGAAACUGCUUUGCUCGAGGGUUGGAAGGGGGACUGGAAUACUUGGUGUAGCAGUGAAAUGCGUAGAUAUCAAGUGGAACACCAGUGGCGAAGGCGAGUCCCUGGACAACUCCUGACACUGAGGCACGAAAGCUAGGGGAGCAAACAGGAUUAGAUACCCUGGUAGUCCUAGCUGUAAACGGUGCACGUUUGCUGUAAAAGGAAUCGACCCCUU
rnacentral:rRNA from 1 species